UGAGGAAUAUUGGUCAAUGGGCGGGAGCCUGAACCAGCCAAGUCGCGUGAGGGAAGACGGCCCUAUGGGUUGUAAACUUCUUUUAUAGGGGAAUAAAGUUGGCCACGUGUGGCCUUUUGUAUGUACCUUAUGAAUAAGGAUCGGCUAACUCCGUGCCAGCAGCCGCGGUAAUACGGAGGAUCCGAGCGUUAUCCGGAUUUAUUGGGGUUUUAAAGGGGAGCGUAGGCGGGGGUCUUAAGUCAGUUGUGAAAGUUUGCGGCUCAACCGUAAAAUUGCAGUUGAUACUGGGUCCCUUGAGUGCGGCAGAGGCAGGCGGAAUUCGUGGUGUAGCGGUGAAAUGCUUAGAUAUCACGAAGAACUCCGAUCGCGAAGGCAGCUUGCCGGACCGUAACUGACGCUGAUGCUCGAAAGUGCGGGUAUCAAACAGGAUAGAUACCC
rnacentral:rRNA from 1 species